GGAGCUCGGGGGAGGAGGCGCCCGCCGCACAGGCACAGGACCGCCGGAAGCGGGCGCAACCACUUCCUGUUUACUUCCGGGUCGGCCCGCGUUGCUAGGCAACGGCAGCGCGUCUGGCGGAUUCGAGCCGCAGCCGGAACCUGCCUCCGGGAGGCCCAGCCCGGCCUCCCCCUCCCGCUCGGAGACCCUCCCCCCCGCCCGGCCCUUCCCUUACCCCUCCCGCUCUGAGACCCUCGCGCGUCCGUCCUGUGAACGCGGAGACCCCCGCCCGCCCCUGCUCAGGGCUGGCUCCCCGAGCGCCAGGGCCUGAUGCCGCCCUAGGAGGCAGCUGUUCCCUCCGCAUCGCCCGGCUCCCUCUACUCUCUCCGUCCCUAAAGCUCGGUCGGCAGCCCCUCUGUUAACCCCCGGGUUGAAACACGUACUGUGGCUCCUGUCUUCCUGGGGGACCCUGGGCGCACAGCCCGCUAGAGCCAGGGGCAAACGGAGCGCAAGUGGAACGAAAGAUCAACUGGCCAGAGGCAGGGACCCCAGGCGACCUCCCUUCACGGCCCCCUCUCAGCUCACCACCUGCAGGAGCCAGCCUGGCCACCCACCUCUCCUGGCCUGACCCGGGGGCCUCCUGCUCACACGUCCACCCCACGCCGCCCCCAGCUGAAAUCAGGAUUUUGCAAGAAAGACUGACAUUUGGGCACAUGUGCGCUUCAGACAGUCCCACCCAGAACACGGCCUGGCGUCCCAUGGGCACUCACUUAACAUUUAUUGAAUAAACGCAUGAGUUAAAGAGGAG